AACAAGGCGUACCUGCGGACCUGCGGAGGGAUCAUUAUCGAGUGUCAACCCCCCCGUAAAAAAGGGGGGUUACCCUCCCGUCCUUUGCUUGGGUACCCUCUUUCCAUUGGAAGGGGGUUGCCUUUCAAGACCCUUCUGCUUCGGCGGGGUUACCCGCCGGAACAACCUCGAAUUCUUUGUCAAAUGGUUCCGUCCGAGAAAACUUUUGAAAAAGCGAAGAACUUUUAGCAAUGGAUCUCA
rnacentral:misc_RNA from 1 species